CACACGCCUUGUUACGAUAAUCUCAAUGGAGGACGUAUACGUAUAUACGACGCGAAAUUAGUGGAUUAUUUAAUAGUGAAAUUUGGCCAAAAAACCCUUAGAAGAUGCGUUAAUAGGGUGGAAAAGGGUUGGAGAACAACCUGAGGUAGUUUAGUCACCUAUAAAUGGGCACCCCUUAAACUAAGUAGCAUGCCCUGGGAACUGACCCUGCAGCACCUUAUAGGGGACUGGUGGUGUGUGCCAUGUCCGAGAAUCAUCAGGUGGCCCUGUUUAAUGACCCAUAAACCAACAAACUGGAGGACAAAGAUUGAAUUUUAUUAUCGAACAUAGUGCCCCCUACCUAGGCUGCAAUAAAAGAAUUACAAAAACAUCUUAAAUAAUUAAGGAGUUGCGAGGGAAAGUGUCUUAGAGGGAUCAAAAAUUAUGAAGUUUACCGAGUGGAUAUAAAUGGGUCUAACUCGUGAAAGAGGUCAAUUGAGUACCUCAACAAAUUCCUCAAAAAACUCAACUUCCUGAACCAGACUCUUGUAAACCAACCAAUAGGGACAGUAGCAUAAGGGGGUUCAACUUGCCACUGAAAUUCACCAACUGGUGACCAAGAAAUCACCCUAUAGAGACCUUCAGGAAUCAAAAGGAUGCAGUUGACGCAGUUUUAAGAAAACAAGAGAAUACAGAACAAAUUACCUUAACUGUUACCUUUAAAUGAGGUCAAGUCACUCAAAUCUCCUUAAUCCAGGACUGGAAGAGCACAGGAGCACUAAACAUGCAAUAUUUAUAUAUAUUAUGUAUAUGAAUAAAAUAAAUAAAUAAACAAAUAAA